AUGGAAUGUGUCUUACUUACACUUAGGGGCUUGUGGUUCAGUGGAGACCACACUGGACUGGACUGAACAGACAACUGAAGGGCUCUCUCUACCUUUCAGCAUCUCUGUCUGCCUUUCUGACUACCUAAAAAGUACUGCAACCUCUGAUUCUGUUUCUAAGGUGGAUUUUCCCUACUCAUGCUUCCUAGAGAUUUGGUGAGGAUUUGUUGAGUCAUGGGACAUUUGAGCUUGCCAAGCUUCUUUAGCCUUAGCACGUGUUUCCACCAGUGUCCCUUAAUGGAGAGGAUGACUAUGUCACUGAAGAAGUGGAGGGGCUGAAAAUGGAUUCAGCUCUUGGCCCCUGUAGAGACUGUGAGACUCCGUGCACACCAUGACAGUCGGGGCUUCUGAGCACUGCGCUGUUCAGCCCUAUUGCGCAACCUGCCAUGCCCCGUUACUGUAAAUGGAACACCGGCUGUGAGUUGGUCAACGCCCUGCCAUAACAAGGCCACUUGCAUAGGACUCCAAAUUUAAAAAAAAAAAAA
rnacentral:lncRNA from 1 species